rnacentral:rRNA from 1 species
CCCUUAGAUGUUCGGGGCCGCACGCGCGCUACACUGAAGGACUCAACGUGCUUGUUGUCCUGGUCUGGAAAGACUGGGUAGCCCGAUGAACCUCCUUCGUGCUAGGGAUUGGGGCUUGCAAUUCUUGCCCAUGAACGAGGAAUUCCCAGUAAGCGCGAGUCAUCAGCUCGUGUUGAUUACGUCCCUGCCCUUUGUACACACCGCCCGUCGCUACUACCGAUUGAAUGGUUUAGUGAGACCCUCGGAUUCGUCCCAGCAGGGUGGGUCACCACCUUAUUGGUGUGCGGAGAAGACGGUCGAACUUGAUCAUUUAGAGGAAGUAAAAGUCGUAACA